UACGUAGGGGGCAAGCGUUGUCCGGAAUCAUUGGGCGUAAAGAGCGUGUAGGCGGUCCGUUAAGUCGGCUGUGAAAGUCCAAGGCUCAACCUUGGGAUGCCGGUCGAUACUGCCGGACUAGAGUUCGGAAGAGGCGAGUGGAAUUCCCGGUGUAGCGGUGAAAUGCGCAGAUAUCGGGAGGAACACCUAUGGCGAAGGCAGCUCGCUGGGACGUUACUGACGCUGAGGAGCGAAAGCAUGGGGAGCGAACAGG
rnacentral:rRNA from 1 species